UUUUCGAAGUGAGGUGUCGUGCAUGUGCACGGCCGUCACGCUCAAUCCUCUUUUACACGUGUGCACCUUUGCAAAGUGGAGUAGGCCUCUCCUUGAAGGGGGUGUGCCCCCUCUAGUAGUCAGAAGGGCGAGCGUGCGCGCAAGCGUGUCAGUAGUCUGGAGGUGAACCAGGGGGGAGACCCCUUCACUGUUUGAAGGUGGAACCAGUAGGGAGUAAGGCGAACGCGUGUGAAACCGCCAGUAGUCUGAACGUGAAAGGGUACUUCAUUUCUUGAAGUUACCUGGUAACUAGUAAGGCGAGCGCGUGCGAGCGUGCAGCAGCCUGAAAGCGAGCGGUUCCCCCUGCGGUCGAAAAAAAGCUUUGACCUUUAUCAACCAUUUGUAUGUCUCGUGGAUGUUGAAGCCCCUUGCGGGUGAAAUGGAAUACAACUUUCAACGACGGAUCUCUUGGCUCUCGCAUCGAUGAAGAACGCAGCGAAAUGCGAUAAGUAAUGUGAAUUGCAGAAUUCAGUGAAUCAUCGAGUCUUUGAACGCACCUUGCGCCCUUUGGAAUUCCGAAGGGCACGCCUGUUUGAGUGUCGUGUCAACAUCAAACCUCGAGCCUUUCAUUUGGGCUUGUAGGGUUUGGACUUGGAGGCUUUGCUGGCGUGCCUAUGGCGUGUCGGCUCCUCUGAAAGGCAUUAGCUGGACUUUGGUUUGCGCGGAUGGUGUAAUAGUAAAGUGUUCACCGGAGGUGCUUUCCUAACGGGUCUGCUUGUAAUCGUCCCCCUAAGGGACAAGGUCGUUUGUGGCCUUCGCCUUGCCCAUUGACAGGCAAAUCAGGUAGGACUACCCGCUGAACUCAAG
rnacentral:rRNA from 1 species